CCUACGGGAGGCAGCAGUGAGGAAUAUUGGUCAAUGGGCGCGAGCCUGAACCAGCCAAGUAGCGUGAAGGAUGACUGCCCUAAGGGUUGUAAACUCCUUGUAUAAAGGAAUAAAGUGAGGCACGUGUGCCUUUUUGUAUGUAAUUUAUGAAUAAGGAUCGGCUCAAUCCGCGCCAGCAGCCGCGGUAAUACGGAGGAUCCGAGCGUUAUCCGGAUUUAUUGGGUUUAAAGGGAGCGUAGAUGGGUUGUUAAGUCAGUUGUGAAAGUUUGCGGCUCAACCGUAAAAUUGCAAUUGAUACUGGCAGCCUUGAGUGCAGUUGAGGUAGGCGGAAUUCGUGGUGUAGCGGUGAAAUGCUUAGAUAUCACGAAGAACUCCGAUUGCGAAGUCAGCUUACUAAACUGCCACUGACAUUGAUGCUCGAAAGUGUGGGUAUCAAACAGGAUUAGAUACCCUGGUAGUC
rnacentral:rRNA from 1 species